UACGUAGGGUCCGAGCGUUGUCCGGAAUUAUUGGGCGUAAAGAGCUCGUAGGCGGUCUGUCGCGUCGGCUGUGAAAACCUGGGGCUCAACUCCAGGCCUGCAGUCGAUACGGGCAGACUAGAGUUCGGUAGGGGAGACUGGAAUUCCUGGUGUAGCGGUGAAAUGCGCAGAUAUCAGGAGGAACACCGGUGGCGAAGGCGGGUCUCUGGGCAGUAACUGACGCUGAGGAGCGAAAGCGUGGGGAGCGAACAGG
rnacentral:rRNA from 1 species